AACUUAAGCAUAUCAAUAAGCGGAGGAAAAGAAACCAACAGGGAUUGCCCUAGUAACGGCGAGUGAAGCGGCAACAGCUCAAAUUUGAAAUCUGGCUCUYYCAGAGUCCGAGUUGUAAUUUGCAGAGGGCGCUUUGGCUUUGGCAGCGGUCCAAGUUCCUUGGAACAGGACGUCACAGAGGGUGAGAAUCCCGUACGUGGUCGCUAGCUAUUGCCGUGUAAAGCCCCUUCGACGAGUCGAGUUGUUUGGGAAUGCAGCUCUAAAUGGGAGGUAAAUUUCUUCUAAAGCUAAAUAUUGGCCAGAGACCGAUAGCGCACAAGUAGAGUGAUCGAAAGAUGAAAAGCACUUUGGAAAGAGAGUCAAACAGCACGUGAAAUUGUUGAAAGGGAAGCGCUUGCAGCCAGACUUGCUUGCAGUUGCUCAUCCGGGCUUUUGCCCGGUGCACUCUUCUGUAGGCAGGCCAGCAUCAGUUUGGGCGGUGGGAUAAAGGUCUCUGUCACGUACCUCUCUUCGGGGAGGCCUUAUAGGGGAGACGACAUACCACCAGCCUAGACUGAGGUCCGCGCAUCUGCUAGGAUGCUGGCGUAAUGGCUGUAAGCGGCCCGUCUUGAAACACGGACCAAGGAGUCUAACAUCUAUGCGAGUGUUUGGGUGUCAAGCCCGAGCGCGUAAUGAAAGUGAACGGAGGUGGGAACCCGCAAGGGUGCACCAUCGACCGAUCCUGAAGUUUACGGAAGGAUUUGAGUAAGAGCAUGGCUGUUGGGACCCGAAAGAUGGUGAACUAUGCUUGAAUAGGGUGAAGCCAGAGGAAACUCUGGUGGAGGCUCGCAGCGGUUCUGACGUGCAAAUCGAUCGUCAAAUUUGGGCAUAGGGGCGAAAGACUAAUCGAACUAUCUAGUAGCUGGGUCCUUGCCGAAGUU
rnacentral:rRNA from 1 species